AUUGAACGUUGGCGGCAGGCCUAACAAAUGCAAUUCGAGCGUAGCGGCUGACGGGUGAGUAAUGCCUAGGAAUCUGCCUGGUAGUGGGGGAUAACGUCCGAAAACGGGCGCUAAUACCGAAUACUAUCAGAUGAGCCUAGGUCGGAUUAGCUAGUUGGUGGGGUAAAGGUCUACCAAGGCGACGAUCCGUACCUGGGCUGAAAGGAUGAGCAGUCACACUGGAACGGAGACGCGGUCCAGACUCCUGCGGGAGGGAGCAGUGGGGAAUAUUGGACAAAUGGCGCAAGCCUGAUCCAGCCAUGCCGGGGGUGUGAAGAAGGUCUUCGGAUAGUAAAGCACUUGAAGUUGGGAGGCGUUACCAACAGAAUAAGCACCGGCUAACUUCGUGCCAGCAGCCGCGGUAAUUC
rnacentral:rRNA from 1 species